GCCAGACCAGGAGCUGGUUAUUUAGUUAUUAGUUAGAAUAACUUUGGUUUUGCUCAGUUGCUGUUUGCUUCCCUCACCCAGUUUGCCUGAUUCCCCUCCAGAGGAAAGGCAGGUACCCACUGCAGCAGCCUCUGCUUUCCCUGAGUUGAAUACACCGCUACUGCCGCAGGCGUGCAUGUCAGAUCACACCUACCAUAUUGGCUUCCUGUCCCCAGAACAUCAGCUGGAUGCUCAAGAGCAGAGGAUCUAUCAACUGCAGACCAAGCAGAGGGAGAGGCAAGCAGAGCUGGAGCAGAAAUGCAGCCGGAUCCAGCAGCUCAGCCAGGACCUGAGGCCAGCCAUCAGCUGCAGGAGGAAGCUCAGGAGCAGUUGCCAAGAACUGUUCUCACAGGCAGUGUGA
rnacentral:lncRNA from 14 species